UACGGAGGGUGCGAGCGUUGUCCGGAAUCAUUGGGCGUUAAGGGCGCGUAGGUGGCGGCUUAAGCGUGCGGUGAAAGCUCGGGGCUCAACCCCGAGUCGGCCGUGCGAACUGAGUCGCUUGAGCACUGUAGAGGCAGGCGGAAUUCCGGGUGUAGCGGUGGAAUGCGUAGAGAUCCGGAAGAACACCGGUGGCGAAGGCGGCCUGCUGGGCAGUAGCUGACACUGAGGCGCGACAGCGUGGGGAGCAAACAGG
rnacentral:rRNA from 1 species